rnacentral:sRNA from 1 species
AAGCAGAAGGGGGAGCCGAAGCUCCCCCAAGUCUUGUUCGUAUCGUCGUUCUUAUUAGUACUACUGGCCUGUUGUUCUUGUUUUAGCCAAGGCCUCCAAGCGAGGCCAAGAGCGAACGGAUUUGUUUGGACGCUGAUGUUGCCGUGAUCCGUAGAUCCAACCCGUCUGUCGCUGCCUUGCAAAGCAGUU